UCUAGAAACCUUUUUGAACUUUUGUUAAAAUUGAAUUCUUAUUUUUGGAGGAUUUAUUCUUAUUUUUCUUUGACUAAAACCCUCUUGAUCAUUUGUUGUAAUUUAUUUUUUAUUUUAGGAUCCAUUAUAGGGCCCGUUUGUUUUAGAUUAAAUAAAAUAGAUUUUUUUUUUAAAAAUUUUGAGAUUUUUUUUUAGAGAUUUUAUUAAAAAAGUAGAAGUUGAUUUGCGUUUGUUUUCUUUCAUAAAAAUCAUUUUUUUUCUUGUUUGGCAAUUUAAACGUAAAAAUGAUUUUUUAAAUAUAAAUUUACUAAAAAGGACAUACAAAUUAGUGUUAAAUAUAUGAAUAGAUGAUUAUACAUGAUAAUGAACUAAUAAUUAUUUAUAUAAUUUUUAAAAA
rnacentral:lncRNA from 1 species